AGGUGGGAGGAUUGCUUGAGCCUGGGAGGUGGAGGUUGCAGUGAGCCGAGAUCAUGCCAUUGCACUCCAGCCUGUGCCACAGAGUGAAAACUUGUCUC
ensembl:miRNA